rnacentral:rRNA from 1 species
UUAAGCGACUAAGCGUACACGGUGGAUGCCCUGGCAGUCAGAGGCGAUGAAGGGCGUGCUAAUCUGCGAUAAGCGCCGGUAAGGUGAUAUGAACCGUUAUAACCGGCGAUACCCGAAUGGGGAAACCCAGUGUGAUUCGUCACACUAUCAUUAACUGAAUCCAUAGGUUAAUGAGGCGAACCGGGGGAACUGAAACAUCUAAGUACCCCGAGGAAAAGAAAUCAACCGAGAUUCCCCCAGUAGCGGCGAGCGAACGGGGAGGAGCCCAGAGCCUGAAUCAGCAUGUGUGUUAGUGGAAGCGUCUGGAAAGGCGCGCGAUACAGGGUGACAGCCCCGUACACAAAAGCGCAUGUGCUGUGAGCUCGAUGAGUAGGGCGGGACACGUGGUAUCCUGUCUGAAUAUGGGGGGACCAUCCUCCAAGGCUAAAUACUCCUGACUGACCGAUAGUGAACCAGUACCGUGAGGGAAAGGCGAAAAGAACCCCGGCGAGGGGAGUGAAAAAGAACCUGAAACCGUGUACGUACAAGCAGUGGGAGCNNNGUGUGACUGCGUACCUUUUGUAUAAUGGGUCAGCGACUUAUAUUCUGUAGCAAGGUUAACCGUAUAGGGGAGCCGGAGGGAAACCGAGUCUUAAUUGGGCGUUAAGUUGCAGGGUAUAGACCCGAAACCCGGUGAUCUAGCCAUGGGCAGGUUGAAGGUUGGGUAACACUAACUGGAGGACCGAACCGACUAAUGUUGAAAAAUUAGCGGAUGACCUGUGGCUGGGGGUGAAAGGCCAAUCAAACCGGGAGAUAGCUGGUUCUCCCCGAAAGCUAUUUAGGUAGCGCCUCGUGAAUUCAUCUCCGGGGGUAGAGCACUGUUUCGGCUAGGGGGCCAUCCCGGCUUACCAACCCGAUGCAAACUGCGAAUACCGGAGAAUGUUAUCACGGGAGACACACGGCGGGUGCUAACGUCCGUCGUGAAGAGGGAAACAACCCAGACCGCCAGCUAAGGUCCCAAAGUCAUGGUUAAGUGGGAAACGAUGUGGGAAGGCCCAGACAGCCAGGAUGUUGGCUUAGAAGCAGCCAUCAUUUAAAGAAAGCGUAAUAGCUCACUGGUCGAGUCGGCCUGCGCGGAAGAUGUAACGGGGCUAAACCAUGCACCGAAGCUGCGGCAGCGAACGUAUCACCCAAGACAACUUUACGGAGUUGACGAUUGACGGAGCGAAGCGACGUCAAAGCGUUCAUUAAAGUCGAGUUGGCUUAGGGAUACGUUCGUUGGGUAGGGGAGCGUUCUGUAAGCCUGUGAAGGUGUGUCGUGAGGCAUGCUGGAGGUAUCAGAAGUGCGAAUGCUGACAUAAGUAACGAUAAAGCGGGUGAAAAGCCCGCUCGCCGGAAGACCAAGGGUUCCUGUCCAACGUUAAUCGGGGCAGGGUGAGUCGACCCCUAAGGCGAGGCCGAAAGGCGUAGUCGAUGGGAAACGGGUUAAUAUUCCCGUACUUGGUGUUACUGCGAAGGGGGGACGGAGAAGGCUAUGUUGGCCGGGCGACGGUUGUCCCGGUUUAAGCGUGUAGGUGUGUGUUCCAGGUAAAUCCGGUUCACUUUAACACUGAGGCGUGACGACGAGGCACUACGGUGCUGAAGCAACAAAUGCCCUGCUUCCAGGAAAAGCCUCUAAGCAUCAGGUAACACGAAAUCGUACCCCAAACCGACACAGGUGGUCAGGUAGAGAAUACCAAGGCGCUUGAGAGAACUCGGGUGAAGGAACUAGGCAAAAUGGUGCCGUAACUUCGGGAGAAGGCACGCUGACACGUAGGUGAAGUGAUUUACUCAUGGAGCUGAAGUCAGUCGAAGAUACCAGCUGGCUGCAACUGUUUAUUAAAAACACAGCACUGUGCAAACACGAAAGUGGACGUAUACGGUGUGACGCCUGCCCGGUGCCGGAAGGUUAAUUGAUGGGGUCAGCGCAAGCGAAGCUCCUGAUCGAAGCCCCGGUAAACGGCGGCCGUAACUAUAACGGUCCUAAGGUAGCGAAAUUCCUUGUCGGGUAAGUUCCGACCUGCACGAAUGGCGUAAUGAUGGCCAGGCUGUCUCCACCCGAGACUCAGUGAAAUUGAACUCGCUGUGAAGAUGCAGUGUACCCGCGGCAAGACGGAAAGACCCCGUGAACCUUUACUAUAGCUUGACACUGAACAUUGAGCCUUGAUGUGUAGGAUAGGUGGGAGGCUUUGAAGUGUGGACGCCAGUCUGCAUGGAGCCGACCUUGAAAUACCACCCUUUAAUGUUUGAUGUUCUAACGUGGACCCGUAAUCCGGGUUGCGGACAGUGUCUGGUGGGUAGUUUGACUGGGGCGGUCUCCUCCUAAAGAGUAACGGAGGAGCACGAAGGUUGGCUAAUCCUGGUCGGACAUCAGGAGGUUAGUGCAAUGGCAUAAGCCAGCUUGACUGCGAGCGUGACGGCGCGAGCAGGUGCGAAAGCAGGUCAUAGUGAUCCGGUGGUUCUGAAUGGAAGGGCCAUCGCUCAACGGAUAAAAGGUACUCCGGGGAUAACAGGCUGAUACCGCCCAAGAGUUCAUAUCGACGGCGGUGUUUGGCACCUCGAUGUCGGCUCAUCACAUCCUGGGGCUGAAGUAGGUCCCAAGGGUAUGGCUGUUCGCCAUUUAAAGUGGUACGCGAGCUGGGUUUAGAACGUCGUGAGACAGUUCGGUCCCUAUCUGCCGUGGGCGCUGGAGAACUGAGGGGGGCUGCUCCUAGUACGAGAGGACCGGAGUGGACGCAUCACUGGUGUUCGGGUUGUCAUGCCAAUGGCACUGCCCGGUAGCUAAAUGCGGAAGAGAUAAGUGCUGAAAGCAUCUAAGCACGAAACUUGCCCCGAGAUGAGUUCUCCCUGAGACUUAGAGUCUCCUGAAGGAACGUUGAAGACGACGACGUUGAUAGGCCGGGUGUGUAAGCGCAGCGAUGCGUUGAGCUAACCGGUACUAAUGAACCGUGAGGCUUAACCUU